CUUCAUGGACCAUUCUGUCAGCCAUCACGUUUGUGCCUGCUAGUAUAUAAAACAAAAAAAGAAAUCAGGUCUUAUUAGGUAAAAGUAGUGAUAUUCAUUCUUCAGUUUAAUCACAUCAGAGGCAGAGGCAACCAGGUUUUAGGCUGAAAUAGCCUAGUACUUUGCAGAAUUCAUGAUGCCUUCAGAAUGCUCAAAAGAGUCCCUGAACCACCAGCCACAAAACAACCCCAAAGCCUCGAUGAUCCACGUCCAUAUGUUACAGCAGAUAUCAGAUACCAGCUAUGCACCUCAGAAACAACAACAACAAAACGAUUAUGUCUUUUUUUUUUCAAACAAGCAAAAUAAGUGGAGG